rnacentral:rRNA from 1 species
CACGUAGGGCGUGAGCGUUGUCCGGAAUUAUUGGGCGUAAAGAGCUCGUAGGCGGCCUGUUGCGUCCGCUGUGAAAGCCCGGGGCUUAGCCCCGGGUCUGCAGUGGAUACGGGCAGGCUAGAGGUAGGUAGGGGAGAAUGGAAUUCCCGGUGUAGCGGUGAAAUGCGCAGAUAUCGGGAGGAACACCGGUGGCGAAGGCGGUUCUCUGGGCCUGUACUGACGCUGAGGAGCGAAAGCGUGGGGAGCAAACAGG